rnacentral:rRNA from 1 species
UACGGAGGGUGCGAGCGUUGUCCGGAAAUCAUUGGGCGUAAAGGGCGCGUAGGUGGCCCGCUCAGCGUGCGGUGAAAAGCUCGGGGCUCAACCCCGAGUCGGCCGUGCGAACUGGUGGGCUGGAGCACUGUAGAGGCAGGCGGAAAUUCCGGGUGUAGCGGUGGAAUGCGUAGAGAUCCGGAAGAACACCGGUGGCGAAGGCGGCCUGCUGGGCAGUUGCUGACACUGAGGCGCGGACAACGUGGGGAGCAAACAGGG